AGGAGUUCAAGAAGCAACUUCCUGGAUUGUGUGUAUGCUGUUUGUCAACAUUUGAAACCCACAUGAAUUUUGAGGUAUGCAUGAUGCAACUGACUUGAUGAUGUGUAGUCUGUGAAACCCACAAGCACAUGUGUAUCCAGAGAAAUAUUAAUUUACAGGAACUUUAAAGAAUAAAGUUGUUGAACCUUUCCAAACCUUCCCUGACAACAUAUACAAAUGGAAUUGGAAGAAGUGACAUGUGAUGUUAUAGUAAAGAAAGAGUUCAAUUUAAAAGAGAUUAUUUCAUCAAUGUACCUUAGAAAACACUUCUCAGUGCAGACAUUUCACUUGGGUCUACUGGUUCAGAGAGGGAUGAUGAGAUAAUGGUGACAUAAUGCAGAUUGCUGACACUUGUUCCUUUCAGUCACCUUCAAUAUUCAGCCAAAAGAAAAAAUCAUUAAUAACGCCGCUUGUGUGACUGGACUAUCAGGCAAAGAUGGCGUCCUUCGUCGCAUCAGUACUCAAGUACAGACUGUCUGCUUAUAUGGACUUUUCAAGACAGCACUCAACUACAGCCUGUAUCUGCCCAUACUUAACUUUAUUUUGUCGCUUUUGUUGAAGAAAA